rnacentral:rRNA from 1 species
CGCGAAUGGCUCAUUACAACAGCAUAGUUUAUUAGAUAGUCUAUUACUACAUGGAUAACUGUGGUAAUUCUAGAGCUAAUACAUGCUACAAACAGUGACCUCGCAAGAGGUAGCUGCGCUUUUAUUAGAACAAAACCAAUCGCGCUGUGGGCAACCGCAGUGCGUCAUUUGGUGAAUCUGAAUAACCUGGCAGAUCGCACGGUCUAGCACCGGCGACACAUCUUUCAAAUGUCUGCCUUAUCAACUGUCGAUGGUAGUUUAUGUGCCUACCAUGGUGGUAACGGGUAACGGAGAAUAAGGGUUCGACUCCGGAGAGGGAGCCUGAGAAAUGGCUACCACAUCCAAGGAAGGCAGCAGGCGCGCAAAUUACCCACUCUCAGUAUGAGGAGGUAGUGACGAAAAAUAACAAGGCAGUUCUCUAUGAGGCCUGUCAUUGGAAUGGGUAAAAUUUAAACCCUUUAACGAGGAUCUAUUGGAGGGCAAGUCUGGUGCCAGCAGCCGCGGUAAUUCCAGCUCCAAUAGCAUAUACCUUUGCUGUUGCUGUUAAAAAGCUCGUAGUUGGAUCCCUGCCAAGGGUGCAGUCUGUCUGAUGGGCAAGCACUGACAUCUGAGGCCAUCUCAGCUGGUGUGUCCCUGAUGCCUCUCACAGGGUGUCUUGGAAGGCCAGCAGGUUUACUUUGAAAAAAUUAGAGUGCUCAGAACAGGCGUUACUGCCUGAAUAGUGGUGCAUGGAAUAAUGGAAUAGGAUCUCUCUUCUAUUCUGUUGGUCUUAAGAGGAUGAGAUAAUGAUUAAGAGGGACAGACGGGGGCAUUCGUAUUGUGGCGUUAGAGGUGAAAUUCUUGGAUCGCUGCAAGACGAACUAUUGCGAAAGCAUUUGCCAAGAAUGUUUUCAUUAAUCAAGAACGAAAGUUAGAGGUUCGAAGGCGAUCAUUUUCCGCCC